GAGUUUGAUCAUGGCUCAGGAUUAACGCUGGCGGCAUGCCUAAUACAUGCAAGUCGAACGGAGUAGCAAUACUUAGUGGCGAACGGGUGAGUAACACGUAUCUAAUCUACCAUUUAGUGGGGAAUAACUGUUGGAAACGACAGCUAAUACCGCAUAAUAUUGCUGGAUAAUUUCCAGUAAUGAAAGGAGCUUUCAAGCUCCGCUGAUUGAUGAGGAUGCGGCGCAUUAGCUAGUUGGUAGGGUAAUGGCCUACCAAGGCAAUGAUGCGUAGCCGAUCUGAGAGGAUGAACGGCCACAUUGGGACUGAGACACGGCCCAAACUUCUACGGAAGGCAGCAGUAGAGAAUUUUUCACAAUGGGCGAAAGCCUGAUGGAGCAAUGCCGCGUGACUGAUGAAGGUCUUCGGAUUGUAAAGGUCUGUUGUAAGGGAAGAAAUGGUAAAACAGGAAAUGGUUUUAUCUAUGACGGUACCUUACCAGAAAGCCACGGCUAACUAUGUGCCAGCAG
rnacentral:rRNA from 1 species